rnacentral:lncRNA from 1 species
UGUAUUUACAAAAAAAUGAAGUUUGCUUAAAUGGAAACAUAAAAGGGAGAGAGAGUUUUCAUUGUGUGUUUGUGUUGUUGAGUAUUCUCGUAGUGUCUGAUGGAGUGUUUCUUUGUCUUAGUGUUGUUGCGUUGAUGUUGUGUUUGACGGAGUGUGCCAUUACUUCGAGCUUGUGGUGAUCAAGCGUGUUGUGUGUUGGUGUUGACGUGCCGUUAAUAUCAUUGGUGUCCGUAAGUUGUUGACGUACUCGGUGACAUAUUUGACGAAGUACAUAUGACAUACAUUCAGAGACUUAGAGGAUCUAAGUCUAGACUCAAGAAGAAUUUAGUUUAUAUGUUAUCCUGAUAAAAUCUAAACU